rnacentral:rRNA from 1 species
AUUGAACGCUGGCGGCAGGCCUAACACAUGCAAGUCGAGCGGAUGAAGGGAGCUUGCUCCUGGAUUCAGCGGCGGACGGGUGAGUAAUGCCUAGGAAUCUGCCUGGUAGUGGGGGAUAACGUCCGGAAACGGGCGCUAAUACCGCAUACGUCCUGAGGGAGAAAGUGGGGGAUCUUCGGACCUCACGCUAUCAGAUGAGCCUAGGUCGGAUUAGCUAGUUGGUGGGGUAAAGGCCUACCAAGGCGACGAUCCGUAACUGGUCUGAGAGGAUGAUCAGUCGCACUGGAACUGAGACACGGUCCAGACUCCUACGGGAGGCAGCAGUGGGGAAUAUUGGACAAUGGGCGAAAGCCUGAUCCAGCCAUGCCGCGUGUGUGAAGAAGGUCUUCGGAUUGUAAAGCACUUUAAGUUGGGAGGAAGGGCAGUAAGUUAAUACCCUGCUGUUUUGACGUUACCAACAGAAUAAGCACCGGCUAACUUCGUG